GCGAGUAAGUCUUACAAGACCUGACGGUAUUAUAAGAGGGAGUUUUCCUGCCCAAUCUCUCUUUGCCUGCUGCCAUCCACAUAAGACAUGAUUUACUCCUCCUUGCCUUCUGCCAUGAUUUUGAGGCCUCCCCAGCCAUGUGGGACUACAGGGUCUCACUUUGUCACCCAGCCUGGAGUCUAGUAGUGUGAUGAUAGCUCACUGCAGCCUAGACCUGUCCAGGCUCAAGCAGUCCUCCCACCUCAGCCCCAUGGAGUAGAUGGGAUUACAGCAAAUAGAAGUCAUUUACACCAGAUGAGCGACAGGCUGUGGAGAAUUGGCAUACCUACAGCACAGGAUACACAGCACCACGCACCUAUUUCAAGGGAAUGAAGAGUGGGUGGCCGGAAGAAAGAAACUCUUUUCCCCAUUUAACCUGUAAUUUGACAACAUCUGUGAAGAAUUAUCCCCAGCAUUGGCAUCAUAAUUGUUGUAUCUACCAUCAAUCACCAGAGAGGGGAGACGACUUGAAAUAGAUGUUAACGGCAUUAUAGCUUAACAAUGUGAAAGCAAAAAAAAAUGAGAGGAAUGAGAGCUGUGAGACAGUGCACAAAUUCAUCAGGAGAUUUGAAAGACACUAUAUUGUUUAGUACAAAAUGAAAACAAUCUUUGCUUAUAUAAGAAAAGCUUAAAUUCUAGAGACCAUCAUCUAUUCUGUAUUCUAGGUGUUAAAAAUUCAAGUAUUAAGUUUCAUAUGAUAGAGAAUCGGUGGUUUAUAUAUUUUCUUUCAUUAUUGCUUCAGUAUGAAAAGCAAUAUAAAUAUGAACAUUUUAUACAGAAGUUGAAAAAUAAAUGAAACCACUUCCAUACGAAUAUUAUUAAUAUAAUGAUAUACUCACAUUAUUCCAGGAACCUGAACUCUCAGCAAGAAUGAACGUAUAGAACCAUCUCAAAUUUAGCGGCUAAGGACUAGGUCCUUGGCCAGAACCUACUGAAGGCUCUCAAAAUAGGAGGUCCAUAGACACAGAGUCCCAUAUAACAUUACAUCAGACCAAGGUCAUGGGAUUAGCCAAUCAAUCACAUACUGUAACCCAGAAACUGUCUGCCUGUAAGAAUAAUGAAAUAGUCUCCUGCAGGUACAGAUGAAGACCAGUCUGGUGAUAAUAAUGUAAAGAAUGGGGCACCAUACUAUAUUCGAAACUAAUUAUCAUUGUAUGGUGUGAAUUCUCCAAUAUAUUUAAUGCAUGGGUCCAAGAACCAGAUAAACAUAGGAGUUAUUUCACUUGUCAUUAUAUCUCGUAACCCAUUGGAGGAAUCUGUGUGCACUAUCCCUGUAACUCUGAGAUUUGUGAGUUUAGAGAACCUGUUUCUCAGAAUAAGAAUGCUACUAUUAGGGGACAAAGAAAGAGUCCCAUUAAACUUUAAUCUAUGACUGUCAUCCAGUUACUUUGAGCUCCACUUGCCAACAGACCAGUGAUGAAGAAAGGAAUCACCAUUCUGGCAAGAGUCAUCGACUCUGAUCAUCAGGAGGUGAUAGAGCUGUAUUGCUCAGAGGAGUCAAGGAAAUAUAUGUGUUUUACUUAGUGAUCUGCUGAGUCAUUUGUUCCAACAAUAAAAGGAUGAGUGCAGCAA
rnacentral:lncRNA from 10 species